UUUCUCUUAGCUUAUAAUUAAAGCGUUAGUUUGAAGCACUGAAGAUAACUUGGGUUAGAGAGGU
rnacentral:tRNA from 4 species